rnacentral:rRNA from 1 species
GACGUAGGGCGCGAGCGUUGUCCGGAUUUAUUGGGCGUAAAGAGCUCGUAGGCGGCUUGUCGCGUCGACUGUGAAAACCCGUGGCUCAACCAUGUGGUCUGCAGUCGAUACGGGCAGGCUAGAAUUCGGUAGGGGAGACUGGAAUUCCUGGUGUAGCGGUGAAAUGCGCAGAUAUCGGGAAGAACACCCGUGGCGAAGGCGGCUCUCUGGGACGGUACUGACGCUGAGACGCGAAAGCGUGGGGAGCGAACAGG